rnacentral:lncRNA from 1 species
CUGGCUGGAUGCAUCAUGUGAUCAGAUACCUGGGCGUGGAGCUAGCGUUCAGUGUGUUAUUCGGGAACGGGAAUCCCGGAACCGCAGAUCUCUGUCUCUCCACGUGUGAGUGACAUGUGAACUUUCCGUGCACCGGGAAUCUAUUCUUCUCAGUCUGAAGGGAAUCCGUGGUCUGGACGCUGCAACUACUGCCAAGGUUUUCCCACUCAUCUUCUUCUGGGGCAGCAGACUGUAAGCCCCGACACGAGGUCCAGGCCCUCCAGUAUCCCAUCACCCCCUGCGACUAUCCAAGCUGUCACGGCAGGCUGGGCCGCGGGCGUCUGUGCCAGGGCGCGGCAGGACCGGAUCCGGCUCCUCCUCCUCCUCCAAGCUGCCCGUAUGCGAAGCUCUUCCGUUAGCCGGAAGGUUGCUUCAGUGAGGACAGGUUUGUCAUUUUGAGAGCGAAGCGCUUAAACUGUGUAAUACCUAGUAAGCACGGGGAACAGUCAAGCUGUCGCGUCUGAAUUAACAACGCGAGUGUCAAAGUUUUGGCGGUGUGCUGUGCGAUUCUGCAGAAGCACAUUGCCAGCAGAUGGUACGGCUCACAUCCAGACCUGACCUGAGCUUUUAGCACUUCACAAAAUCAUUCUGCUGCAGCUCAAGGAAAAUGUAAUUGGGGGAGAGAUUCGAUAUGCUCGAAUUUGAUUACGAGACUGACAGUUUUAUGUCCUCAGGUUUGCAAGAACACUCAACAAGAACAACAGCACAAUUUUUACUUUCGCUGAAGAAAAAUAUUUGUGGGGC